CUUUGGUUCUAUUUUGUUGGUUUCUAGGACCGAAGUAAUGAUUAAUAGGGAUAGUUGGGGGCAUUAGUAUUUAAUUGUCAGAGGUGAAAUUCUUGGAUUUAUGAAAGACUAACUUCUGCGAAAGCAUUUGCCAAGGAUGUUUUCAUUAAUCAAGAACGAAACAAGGGGGAUCGAAGACGAUCAGAUACCGUCGUAGUCUCUUGCGUAAACGAUGCCGACUAGGGAUCGGACGACGUUAUUUAUUGACUCGUUCGGCACCUUAUGAGAAAUCAAAGUUUUUGGGUUCCGGGGGGAGUAUGGUCGCAAGGCUGAAACUUAAAGGAAUUGACGGAAGGGCACCACCAGGAGUGGAGCCUGCGGCUUAAUUUGACUCAACACGGGGAAACUCAC
rnacentral:rRNA from 1 species